ACGGGGUAGUAAGGCAUCGGAACGUACCCUUCUGUUCGGGAUAGCCGCGGGAAACUGCGAGUAAUACCGGAUAACACCGGCCUUUGUGAUGAAGGCCGGUCAAAGGUCCGCCGCGGAAGGAGCGGCCGAUGUGAUAUCAGCUGGUUGGCGGGGUAACGGCCCACCAAGGCUUAGACGUCUAGGGGAUGUGAGAGCAUGAUCCCCACCACUGGGACUGAGAUACUGCCCAGACACCUACGGGUGGCUGCAGUCGAGGAUCUUCGGCAAUGGGCGCAAGCCUGACCGAGCGACGCUGCGUGCGGGAUGAAGGCCCUUGGGUUGUAAACCGCUGUCAGAGGGGAUGAAAGCGAAAGCUUGACAGAGCCUCAGAGGAAGCGCGGGCUAAGUUCGUGCCAGCAGCCGCGGUAAUACGAACUGCGCGAACGUUAUUCGGAAUCACUGGGCUUACAGGGUGCGUAGGCGGCCGAUCAGGUCCGAUGUGAAAUCCCCCAGCUCAACUGGGGAAUGGCAUUAGAAACCGGCCGGCUGGAGUGAGCUAGAGGUGCACGGAACUUCCGGU
rnacentral:rRNA from 1 species